GACGAACGCUGGCGGCGUGCUUAACACAUGCAAGUCGAACGGUAAGGCCCUUCGGGGUACACGAGUGGCGAACGGGUGAGUAACACGUGGGUGAUCUGCCCUGCACUUCGGGAUAAGCCUGGGAAACUGGGUCUAAUACCGGAUAGGACCACUGCCUGCAUGGGUGGUGGUGGAAAGCUUUUGCGGUGUGGGAUGGGCCCGCGGCCUAUCAGCUUGUUGGUGGGGUGAUGGCCUACCAAGGCGACGACGGGUAGCCGGCCUGAGAGGGUGACCGGCCACACUGGGACUGAGAUACGGGCCAGACGCCUACGGGAGGCAGCAGUGGGGAAUAUUGCACAAUGGGCGCAAGCCUGAUGCAGCGACGGCGCGUGAGGGAUGACGGCCUUCGGGUUGUAAACCUCUUUCAGCACCGACGAAGCGCAAGUGACGGUAGGUGCAGAAGAAGGACCGGCCAACUACGUGCCAGCCGCCGCGGUAA
rnacentral:rRNA from 1 species